rnacentral:lncRNA from 1 species
AGAUGAGAAGGGUCUCACCAUCGAUGGUAGCAAGAACAUCGUUGGGGAAGUACAUUAGAUUAGGGUGAAGCAGCUAGGCUUUUGCCUAGUCCCCGUAGCUGUAAGAGUAUGAUGAUCAGAUGGUGUUAGCCAUGCUGACUAUUUAAUUAACAUUAUCAGUUUGAACACAAAUCAAGAGAGUUCCGCUCAUGUUUUAAUCUUAGUACUGCAUACAUGAAGCAUGAUUUUUCCUCGUGCAAUUUAAUCUAUGGAGCGUUCUGCUUCUAUUGUUUCUUUCGGGGCAUGGUUUAAAGAAAUUCACACAAUUUUUCUUUAACCACUUUUUUUGGUCCUCGAAGAAAACUCCAUGUACGAAGCUUGUGCCCCGAACAAUAUGUGCAUCACUGAUGGUAUAACACCCAGCGGGGAAUCUUCGCGACUGAUUGUUUAUUCUUCACAGUUUCAAUAGGUUGUUUUAUAAUCUUAUAAUGGCAAUACCUAUAUUACAAGGGGGAUCCAUCUUUUAAAAGUCAAACUAAUAAAAUAUUAUUUCUAGAGAAUAUGGAUUUCCACCUGCACUUGGGUUGGGCCUUAAAAAAAAUAAUAUAUAUAUUUAUAAAUCUCUCCCUUGCCGCUGACGCACGCAACGCUGAAUUCCAAUUUCAAAAUCCAUAAACCGUCUGGCCUUCGAUAAUCCCCCUCUUCUCAUCUUCUUUCACAAUGACAGGCCCUCGUAGCACAGCCAGACGGGUUUUAGAUUCGGUUCGGGUUCAAUCCGAACCGAAAUAAAAACUUAUUGGGUUGCAAUUUUCAACCCAUUCGGAUUUUAUGUGUUAAUCCAAACCGAACUAAAUCCAAAAUAAAUUUCAGGUUCGAUUCGGGUAAACUUGAUCCGAACGCCCACCCCUAGUAACUGAAGUGCGUUUUUUUAUUUUUUAUUUUUAAAAAUUCUAUUUUCAGCUCAUAAUAGUAGUAAAAUAAAAGAAAUUUACGACUGAUUUGUUAUUUUUUACUGCCAAAAUAUAAAAGGACAGUAAAUACCCAUUUUAACCUUGCAGCUGAUUUAAUUCCCUACAAAGUAGCAGUAAAGUUUUACUCAUUUGCCAGGAGAUAUUUUUCAGCCACAAACAUUCCCCACAAAAGGCCCUUUUUUCGUAGUGAGGGGUAGGAAAAUUAGAUUUCGGUUUGGGUUGUUUGGGUUUUGAUUUGGGUUACAAUCCGAUUCGGUUGGAAAAUUGAAUCCAAUUAGAUUUUCAUUUUGAUAUCUCGAUCUGCAUCCAGAUCCAUAAAAUUUUUUGAAGAUUCAGACAUGGGUAAAAUCCACACCGGAUGCAGGCAGAUAUCUCGGAUAUCCGGAUCCGCAAAUCUUAAAAUUAAAUAAUUUUAAAUAUAAUUUAAAAAUUCAACAAUUUAAUUAAUAGUAUCAAAUAAAAUUCAAUUACAAUCCAACAAUUAACAAUUUAACAUAAAUAACAUAUAACAUCAACAUAAAUCCACAAAUAAAAAUAUUACAACAUAAAUCAAACAUAAAAAAUAACUAAAUUCAAGUGCAUAACUAUUAAAAUCCACAAAUAAAAAACAUCACUAAAUUCAAGUACACAACUAUUAAAAUCCACAAGUAACAUUAAAUACAAUCAAACAAUUAACCACAAUACCAAAUUAGUAAUCAGAAAAAAAAUUUCAAGUUUAAAAAAAUUUACAUUAGAUUAAACUCAUUAAAUACAAUCAAACAAUUAACCACAAUACCAAAUUGUUAACCCCCAAAAAAAAAGCCAUGCAUUUAAUAGAAAGAAUAAAAAAUUAAUUGAAAUAAGGGAGCAAAAUCUAAUUACCGGCAAAUUAAUUCCAAGCACGAGAGGCUUGAACGCAACGACAAGGGUUGACGGUUAAAGGACAGGUGGACAGCGUCACAGCGAGGCUUCGACGAGCACCGCGACGCUUCUUCGACGAGUAUCGGCACCGCGAGGCUUGGACGACGAGGCUUUAACAAAAGAUCAGGCGAGGCGGGCUUCGACGCGAGUCUCCAACGAGUUGCGACGAAGACAACGACUGGUCGAGAGCGAGAUUGAAAGGUUAGGACUUACAGCAACUGGUGAGGUGAGUGUGUAUGGGAAAAUUGAAUGAAGGGAGUGAGACUUAGGGAUUUAUGGCUUAGAUUUUUUUUAUUUAAGUUAAUAUAUAUUUUAAUUUAAAAUAAAGACCGACCGGAUCCGGAUAUCUGAUUUUCCGGAUACAAGUGCAUCUGGAUCCGGAUCCGUGCGGGUUUUUAUUUUUUAAAUCCGGAUCCGCAUUUUUAAAAAAUGUAGAUCCAAAUUUUUCGGAUCCUUGCGGAUACGGGUCGGAUGGGAAUUUUUUUGCCAUCCCUAGCCUUACAAAUUGAUGAUAUUCAAUGUAUUUUCUAAAAUUGUAGCUAUACUGUAAUGUGUAUUUUGGUUGAAUGAAAUUUUACAAUUUUUUUCUUUUAAC